rnacentral:lncRNA from 1 species
GCCAUCCCAAUGCUGGAGAACCUGAGAAGCCCCACAGUUCACCUAUGUGGAGGGACCCUGGUGAAGGCAAGGCUGGGAGCAGUGGUGCUGGGCACAUCUGAUUAUGGAAGAGGUCAACGAAACACAAGAGAGAGGGCUGGGGAGCCCAGCACCCAUCUCCCAGCAGCAUAAGGGCCCACCUCCCUUCAUCGUACCAACUCUGCUCUUCCCUUGCAUCCACCCACCUGAGUUAUCUGUAAAAGUUGUUUGUGGUGCUGGGGAUGGAACUCUGCCACUGAGCCACACUGCCAGCCCUUUUUAUUUUACUUUGAAAUGAUGGAAGAGGGCUUUGGGUUCAAUUCCCAGUUACCUCAUUUUUUAAAAUGAAACAUUCAGUUUGCCGAUGAGACU